rnacentral:lncRNA from 1 species
AUUACAAACGUAUUACUUGACCAUAAAUGCCAUUAUGCCAAUACUGAUCAAAUAAAUGGGCAUCUAUUGAGUUGAGUAUGUUGAUAUCAAAUACUCCAUUUUCAUGGAUGGUAAUUCAUGUUUAUAUCUUCCAAACUGAACAGGCAAACCUAGCAGGCACUUGCUUACAACGGGAUGGAGUAAUUUCGUCACUUCUAAGAAAUUAGUCGCUGGAGAUUCUUUUGUAUUUUUGAGGUACUUGUCGAACUUACACACUCUUCAGUGAUUAUAAGUUGUAUCUGUCAAUGAAGCCUCGGUUUUCCUUUUUCUUAUGUGUUGUUAUCGUCUUAUUGGAACUCUUAUUCUAGGGGAGAGAAUGGGGAGUUACAUGUUGGAGUUAGACAUCAUGUUUGUCAACAGAGCUCCUUGCCAUCGUCAGUGAUUUCAAGUCAGAGCAUGCACCUCGGAGUGCUUGCAACUGCAUCCCAUGCUGUAGCAAGCAAGACCCUCUUUGUUGUUUAUUACAAACCGAGGUUUGAUAUUCACUCUUUGUACACUGGGAAUGAUGUCCGUAUAUGAGAAUUACUUUUUAAAUAACGUGCAUAGCUGUGUGUUAAACUUUCAGAACAAGUCAAUUCAUCAUAGGCCUGAACAAAUAUCUUGAAGCUCUAAACCAUGGUUUUGGAGUUGGCAUGAGAUUCAAGAUGCAGUUUGAGGUCGAGGAUUCUCCAGAGAAGAGGUUGCCACUUGCCAUGUAUUCAAAAGUAAAUCUCAUUGCUAUUGUCAUGGAAUUGAUCUAAUUUGUCCCUUUUUUUCCCACAUUAUCAGGUUCUCAGGUACAAUAACAGGAGUCGAAGAUAUUUCUCCUCACUGGGAAGAUUCUAAAUGGCGAUCACUGAAGGUUAGUGUAUUUCUUGAUGUUCUUUUGAUUAAAUUAGCAUAUGGAAUUACUCAAACUCUAUGCUGUUCUCGUGUUUUCAGGUUCAGUGGGACGAACCUGCAUCCAUUCCAAGACCUGAAAGGGUUUCUCCAUGGGAGAUAGAACCAUUUGUGGCUUCAGUUCCCACAAGCCUGGUUCAACCAUCGGCAGCAAAAAAUAAAAGGCCAAGAUUGCAUGUUGAAACCCCAGUUCCUGGUUCAACAUUCUUGCAUACCCUUUUUUCCCAAACUUUCUAGCAUUUUUAUGUAUUAGGACUUCAUUUAAUUUUGUUGCUAUUUCCUAUGUGGUAGAUACUCCAAGUUCAACAGCAUCAGCUGUGUGGAAUCCGUCCCGCGAAUCACAUCAAGUAAUGGGCUCUCUUGAAGAACAAAGGAGUGAACAAGUUGACACUGGUGGCACUCUCAUCAGAAACAGAAACGGCAACACUUCUGGAACUCUUUUAGAGGGAGACUGGCUAUCUCCUGAUGUGAAUUCGUCUCUUAAUAUGUUUUCUGAAGAAACAGAAGAGAGCAAAAGUGCAUCGGCUUGGUCUAUUUUUUCAAACUGUUCAGCCCCAAAUUCUGGAAAACGGAGUAAUAGUCGCAUUUCUUGCCUGAAUGAUGGGAGGAAAUUAGAUGCGUCUGCAACUUGCAGAUUAUUUGGUAUUGAUUUGAACAGCCCUUUGACGGGUGCUGCCCUUCUCGAGAAAUCCUCUCUAAAAUCAGUUGAUAAACUAAAUGAUGCUUCUGAAGGAUGCGUCUCAAAUCAACGGCAGCAGUUACAAGUACCAGUAAAGGAGGUUCCUAGCAGACAGAAUCACUCCACUAGAAGUCGCACCAAGGUAUAAUUUCACCUUCUACUUUUAACAACAAAGUAUUAUUGAUUGAGCGUUUACUGAAUUGAAAGAGUAAUUAAUAAUAACUAUUUGUUUCUUUGGUGUGAAAUACUUUGAGAAGGUUCAAAUGCAAGGUGUUGCUGUGGGUCGUGCUGUGGACCUAACUGCGUUAAAGGGAUACGAUGAGCUUAUAAGUGAAAUUGAAGAGAUGUUCGAAAUAAAGGGUGAGCUUCAGCUCCGACAUAAUUGGGAGAUUGUUUUCACUGAUGACGAAGGAGACAUGAUGCUUAUGCGCGAUUAUCCAUGGCUGUACGUAUUAUUUGUAUUUUUCAUCUAGACAUAUCAUCUACUUCAACGGUUAUAUGAUACUAUUAUUUUCUUGCAGAGAAUUCUGUGAUAAGGUGCAGAGGAUUUUCAUCUAUUCUAGCCAAGAUGUGAAAAAAAUGAGAGCAGGAAGCAAGCUUCCUCUAUCUUCGACAGACAACUGAAGGAGAUGCUUUAACUUGGAAGUUGGUGAAGAUUAAAAUUAAAUUAAUUUCACAUUUUCUUGUUCAUCCCUGCUUUUUCCUUUUAAUUUGUUUUUCAAUGGAAAAAGCUUCAGUUUUUCGCUGUUGUAGAGGUCUUGAGGAAUUUCUUGUUUGUUUCUCUGAUUCUGUGUCAUCAAGAUGGAUGGCUAUAGAUAUGGAUGUAGCAUCAGGCUAACAACCAAGAAAACUAGCUGUUUGCGACUAGAAAUUUUACGAGUAAUCGGGGGUGGGAUUAGGAUUAGAAUCUGUGUAUAUCAGAGGUGUUUCCGGUGGAUUUGGAUGUAAAUAUAAAUUUCUUGGCAUCUGGUUUAUAAAUUGCCAGGUUCUUUUGGAAAUGUGUACUUCAAUAAUCCAGGGCAUUUCAUUUUCUUCCUUGCAUGCAUAGUUAAAUUGAAUUCAAGGUUCUGGUUCAAUGGAUAUGUGGAU